rnacentral:rRNA from 1 species
UACGAAGGGGGGCUAGCGUUGCUCGGAAUUACUGGGCGUAAAGGGAGCGUAGGUGGACAGUUUAGUCAGAGGUGAAAGCCCAGGGCUCAACCUUGGAAUUGCCUUUGAUACUGGCUGUCUUGAGUACGGAAGAGGUAUGUGGAACUCCGAGUGUAGAGGUGAAAUUCGUAGAUAUUCGGAAGAACACCAGUGGCGAAGGCGACAUACUGGUCCGUUACUGACACUGAGGCUCGAAAGCGUGGGGAGCAAACAGGG